UAGGCCUGAAAGCAAGCAGAAGGCCAGGACAACAGAAAACACAAGAUCAAAAUGGUCUGAAGUCAAGAUGCUUUCAAAGCAAACCAACAUAAUGAAUGCAAACCAAAACCCCAGAAGAUAAUAUACAGGUAAAUAUACCAAUAAAUGGAAUUCUAAACAGUUCAGAGUAAACAGCAUAUGGUCUUCUGAAAAAAAUACAAGAGAUCUGACGUCUCAAACACUCACCAGAAUCCACCCUAUGAGAUAGUGUCAUACAGACACAAGGGGAACCAGGUUGUUGGUACCUGGCUCCAGCUCAUGUGAUUGUUUUUGCUGAAAUGUAGAUCAUUCUUGUCACCCUGUGGUAGGUACCAUAUCUUUCGAAAGAAAGACACAGACACAACUCUUACCUCAAGGGGAUGUGACACUGUUUUCCUGAAUUAUCCCAAAUUCCAUGUUCCAAUGUUGUUAUAGUUCCUUAAACUUUUAUAACAAAGACAACAAUAACACUAAAAUAAAAAGCCAUAAAAUAAAACACUUUUCAGAUACAUUGUGCAACAUUAGGUAGGCAGAAUACAGAGCAGUGCAUAGGCACUAUAGAGCUCGCGUCUCAGCUGAUGGUCUUCUCCUUCUCCUCCUCCUUCUCCUCCUCCUCCUCCUUUCUCUUCCUCCUCUUUUUCCUCUUCCUCUUCCUCCCUCUCCUCCUCCUGCUCCUGCUCCUCCUCCUCCUGCUCCUCCUCCUCCUCCUCCUGCUCCUGCUCCUCCUCCUCCUGCUCCUCCUCCUGCUCCUGCUCCUCCUCCUCCUCCUUCUCCUCCUCCUCCUGCUCCUCCUCCUCCUCCUCCUGCUCCUGCUAGGAGCGAGCUGGAUGUUGCUGAGGGAGCGCCACAUUGGCCUUAGUCCCGCUGAGGUCUACCUUGAAAAGAAAACAGAACUACAUCUUAGUAAUGAAACUGCUGCUCUCUGUUUUGCAAACUUGCAGUAUUCUAUACAAUGCCUUGUUCUGUCCACGAAGGAAGAAGCCAAAGACGAUAACAUUUUAAUAACAUUAGGUUGUAUAAAUUUUUUUGACAUAGUGCAUAUGGGAUGAAAUAUAUGAUUGUAUUAGAAAUAAUUGAAGUCACGU
rnacentral:lncRNA from 1 species